rnacentral:tRNA from 15 species
AGGCGCGUAGCUCAGCUGGUUAGAGCACCACCUUGACAUGGUGGGGGUCGUUGGUUCGAUUCCAAUCGCGCCUACCA